rnacentral:misc_RNA from 1 species
UGUGGGAGGGGGCUUGCCCCCGAUGCAGUGUGUCAGGCGCUACAUUUAUUGCUGACACUACGCCAUCGGGAGCAAGCCCCCUCCCACA